AUGCUCAUGGAAAGAGCGGCUCGGAAGUCCGGGCCGAGCGAUGGGUCCUGGGACUCAGCGCUUCCUCCCUGCCCCGGGCCCUCCCACUGGACUGGAGUGCAGCUCCACGUGAGGGUGCUGAGCUGGCCAGCCCAUCCCACCCCGGCCCCCGCCCCACACCCAGCAGGACUGACUUCUGACGCACAGAUUCAGCCCUGGCUUAAAGCCUCUGUUCCCAGCCUCGGCCUGCCCUGGCCUCCUGUGCGGCCCCUCGGCCGACUCCCGCUGCAGCCCGCGAGGCUCCCUUCCACUCUCCUGACCCGGGGCCCUCGUGACGCCGCUCCUCCCGCGGGGAUGCCGGCCCGGUCUCUCCUUUCACCCUCACACAGCAACCGCUUCUGCGAGCGGCUGUCGCUGCAGCCUGCGGGGCGGGGCCCAUGCACCCACCUCGGUGUUGGGGCCACCCGCGCACCAGCUCAGGCCGUCUGCCCCACCGUGCUGUGCACCCCGUCGGGCCCUGUGACCCCUCUCUGCCCCGUCUGUGCCCAGGAGGGAGAAGGUUGUUCACAUGGGGCCCCAAUGCCAGUGGGGUCUGACCCCUCGGGCAGACCCCUCAUGGUCGGCGGCCCGCCGCGUGCUGGGGUGGGCAUGGACCAGGCCUCAGCAACGCCUGCUCCCCCGCAGGUCAGGCCACCUGGCCACCCUGGAGCCUGGACGAGAGCAGCAAUGAUGGUGUGGACGUGGAGGAUGCCAGCCCGCUCUGGCUCACCUUCCUGGCCCUCUUCCUCGUCACUGUGGUCUACGGCGGCUUCGUCACCUUCAUCAAGGUGAAGUAGCCCUGGAGAGAAGACACCAGGCUCCGCACAGACAGAACCUGGCCUCCACACCGCCUGCUGCUCCCAGAGGGCAGAGGAGCCCACGCUGGACCCCACCCUGCGGCCCCACCCUCUGUCCACCACAGAGCCCAGCCCCCAGCCCGAGGAGGACAUCAUGGUGCAGAGAGGGGGCCCCCGGAUGGCCCUGCAGCCCCAGAGCCGGUGGCCCUGGCUGCAGCCCCCUUGCCUCCCCACCCACCAUCCGCCACAUAAAGAGCUUUGAUCCUUCUUCCUGCCUCCUGUUUCUGUGCCCCAGCCCUCAGAUCUUGCAGGUGAGAGCACCCAGGAGGCCGAGGGCACACACCGAAGUGUGUCCACACACACAGGAGAGGUGGGCAGGGUCAGGCACGCAGCAGGGGGCUGCCUCCAGAAGAAGAUGCCGAGCCUACUGCUCCAAAGGGACUGGGCACACCAGACAUGUGCGUCCACACCUGCACACACGGGUGCACACACAUGCAGACACAUGCCCGUGGGCACACAUGCGGAGGUCUGCAUCCACACACACAUGCACACACAUGGAUUCACUCUCAUAGAGACAUGAAAGCACGUGUGCCCGUGUACCACUCAGGCGUGCGCACGCG
rnacentral:lncRNA from 1 species